rnacentral:tRNA from 2 species
GGUCUGGUGGUGUAGUUGGUUAUCACGUCAGUCUAACAUCUUGUCGACUCACCUCGAUGAGCUGAGCACACUGAAGGUCUCCGGUUCAAGUCCGGGCUAGAUCA